rnacentral:rRNA from 1 species
UACAGAGGGGGCAAGCGUUAUUCGGAAUUAUUGGGCGUAAAGGGCGCGUAGGCGGCUUUGCAAGUGACGGGUGAAAGCCCUCGGCUUAACCGAGGAACUGCCUGUCAGACUGUAAGGCUUGAGACCGGGAGAGGUGAGUGGAAUUCCCAGUGUAGCGGUGAAAUGCGUAGAUAUUGGGAGGAACACCGGUGGCGAAGGCGGCCCCCUGGACCGGUACUGACGCUGAGGCGCGAAAGCGUGGGUAGCAAACGGG